ensembl:lncRNA
CUCCACCGAAGCUUCUUGCCUGCGCUGCUGCUCCCCCGGGGUCUGGCCUGACCCUAAACCCGGGCUUAGCCACGCCCCCUUCCCGUCCCGCCCCCUCUCCGGGCCAAUCGGGACCGGCGGCCCGGGCGGGGCCGAAGUCGGGGCGGGGCCUCGCCCUCCCACUACCCACGGCGGCGCCUGCGGCUCCGGAAACGCGCCGCUGGGCUGCUAGGCUCAGCAGUGCGCUAGCUGCUCCGUGGCGCUUCCUGCCACGCGAGGCCUGGGCCUCGCCAGCGCUGCUCCGUCAAGGGCCGCGCGUCGGCCGCCGCCAGGCUAGGGAUUCAGUGACGUUUGGUAAUGUGGCACAAUACCUCAUCAAGCGGAGUGAUUGAAGCUGGACCCUGAGCAGAGGACCUCAGCAUAUUGAAGAAACGUGAUAUCUGUGGGAGUUCCUGUUUUGACCCUCACCUUGGUCUCUCACCUGGAGCAAGUCAGAGCCAUCCCCUAACGUGGAUUGAGCUAAACAUUCAGGUGAGUAAAAAAAUUGAAGAAAUGUCAGGGCAUCAUGGGGGAGGCCCAGCUGAAGCUUUGGGGAGGAAGCCACAUGUUUGGGGUGUGGCUUGAUCCUCAGUCACCUUGAGAGGGAGCUUCCAGCAACCAGGCCCUUAUGCCCUUUCUGUCUACUGUCCUUAUUUCUGGUUGGUGACCUCCUGCCAACUGGUCAGCAGCUGUCUCUGGAGCAAAGUGAUUGUUGACACUCACUCGUUUUGCUGUGAUUAUUCCUUCCUCC